AACGUAGGAGACGAACGUUAUCCGGAGUUACUGGGCGUAAAGGGCGUGUAGGCGGUUUGUUAAGUCUGGCGUGAAAGCUCUCGGCUAAACCGGGAGAGGUCGUUGGAUACUGGCAAACUUGAGGAUGGUAGAGGCGUGUGGAAUUCCGGGUGUAGUGGUGAAAUGCGUAGAGAUCCGGAGGAACACCAGUGGCGAAGGCGACACGCUGGGCCAUACCUGACGCUAAAGCGCGACAGCGUGGGGAGCGAACAGG
rnacentral:rRNA from 1 species